UGCAGGGUGGCGCAGUUGGUAGCACUGUUGCCUUGCAGCCAGAAGGUCCUGGGUUCGAUUCCAGGCCAGGGGUCUUUCUGCAU